UCACGGGAUAGGCUGGCCAGCCGACAAGCGAAACGCCUUUCUUCGCUUCCCGUGAAUUUUAUUCUGAAAGG
rnacentral:ncRNA from 12 species